ACGGGGACCCGCACAAGCGGUGGAUGAUGUGGAUUAAUUCGAUGCAACGCGAAGAACCUUACCUACCCUUGACAUGUCCGGAACUUGCCAGAGAUGGCUUGGCGCCCGAAAGGGAAUCGGAACACAGGUGCUGCAUGGCUGUCGUCAGCUCGUGUCGUGAGAUGUUGGGUUAAGUCCCGCAACGAGCGCAACCCUUAUCAUUAGUUGCUACGCAAGGGCACUCUAAUGAGACUGCCGGUGAUAAACCGGAGGAAGUGGGGAUGACGUCAAGUCCUCAUGGCCCUUAUGGGUAGGGCUUCACGCGUCAUACAAUGGUCGGUACAGAGGGUUGCCAAGCCGCGAGGUGGAGCCAAUCCCAGAAAGCCGAUCGUAGUCCGGAUUGUUCUCUGCAACUCGAGAGCAUGAAGUCGGAAUCGCUAGUAAUCGCGGAUCAGCAUGUCGCGGUGAAUACGUUCCCGGGUCUU
rnacentral:rRNA from 1 species